CUGUCAAAGGCAAACUUGCAUCAAUAAUUCUGCAAGGUUGCCUUGCAUGCCUGCAGCACGAAUCCACUGGGUGGGCUUUUCCAUUAAGUGCGUUUAGACGAAUCAAGAUCGUGCUGUUCCAGCGAAGCGUAGUAGUGUGCACCACGGAUGAGACGUCGCUGAAUACGAAGCUUUCGUACUCAAUCUUACAUUUUACACACUGUUAGUGUAUUGAAUUUUCUAACAGCCUGCCGAUUUCCGAACCCCAUUAACCCAAUGAUGGAGUUAUCCUUGAUGUCAGCGCAGACCAGACCAACACAACCAUGACUUAGUCUCUCUGCACUGGUCCAAUCGCUGCUCAGUGCCGUCUGAGUCCAGCGCUCUCCUUUUAAAUCCCCUCUCUGUGGUGAAUCAGCACUCGCAGCGCAGCCCUCCGGUGAUACAGCAAGUGGUAGAGAAGUCUACUGAAACAGCCUACACAUUUUCCGGCUGUGAGUGGGGCCUUCAUGGAUUCCCCGUACAAUGGCAACACGUCCCUCCAGACCUCCACCUCCAACCUCAAUGCCAACUUCUCCCGGCCGACUGAGGCGGAAGAGGAGGGCAAGUACUCCAGCGACGCCAUCUGGCUUUGGGUAGCCGUCAUUGCAACCAUCGGCAACAUAGUAGUGGUAGCAGUGGUUUGCGCCUGUGCCUUCUAAGACCCGUUAGUUACAAGCACACAGCCGAACCUCCCUCUUGCCACCUUUUUCCCCUCCACUUUAACCUAUCCCUGUAUUCAUUUUCAUCUUGUAUGUGUCCAUCCAUAAUAUUAAAGCCAAGGCCCUGUUCUGAGGGUCAACGGAAUAUGAUAGUGUAAAUAUAGGGAUUGGUUUAACUGAUGUUCUGUAGGACUGUGAAUGCGUUUAUAAGUCUAGGAAUGAGAGAGAGACAAUCCUCUGGAGUUACCAUACUGUAUCUUACCUAAAGCCUAUGUCUCUGUGUUACUAUUUUUUUUAAUGAUAAACAGGGAAGUGAGCUGAUGUGGGCUGUGCCUUUGUAUAAUGAACAUUUUGUAAAUGAGUUAUGGAAAUGGACAUGAUCUAAAGCAGCUGAGUGAGCCUCCCUGAUCACCAGAGGUCAGUUUAAAGGAUUAGUGUACAGCUGUGAGAUCCCCUCUGCCUAUGAACCUGAACAGAACACCACACCAUAUAUCUUUGUCUGGUUGAUGUCAUGUGACUGUUUGUCUGGAAUGAAUGUGCUGAUGCUGCUGUCUUGGUCCAGGUCUCUCUUGAAAAUUCGAUUUUUAUCUCAAUGAGACUAACCUGGUUAAAUAAGGGUGAUAUAAUUAAACACCAAAUCAGCAGUUCUCGUUGUGGUUGGCCACUGUCUCGGAGACCAGUAGAGAGAUAUGUGACAGAUGGUGGCUGGUAGGGGCGCCGAGGGGACAGCGGAGGGGCCCGGGGCAGACUUGGCAGUACCCCCAGUACUCGGUGUUCUUUCCUGUGACUGCUGCACCCCUGCACUACCAUUCACCAUUACUGCUCUGUCCUGUCCUCAUCAGCCUCUGUGAUAGAAAUCUCCCCAAGCACUUUAUAAAACCCAAUAAACUGGGGAGUUUUCUUCCAUUUUAACUGCAGUGUUCAGUGCCCACCUGUUGCAUCUCUGCAGUGGCUGUAGACCUGUGCCAGUUUAACUAUGCAGUGAUGACAUCCCACUGAGCACACACUGGUUGAAUUAAAGUUGUUGCCACGUCAUUUCAAUGAAAUGUUCCCAGUGGGAUAGCUGUGGAUAAUGUUUAUAAGUGAGACCGAUGUAUACAAACACAGUAUCACCCACAAGCCAAAUGAGGGAAUUAAGUUGUCAGCACAAAUCUUUUGUUAUACCACCCCUGCUGACAUUAUCUGCAAUUACGGAGCCACCAAUUACAUCGCACUAAAUCAUUGAGCCGCCCACCAUAACCAGACUAUCCCAAAUGACCAGACCGCCGCUACGAAGGCCCCAAGCUGUUGAGCUAGCAAUUAAAUGAUUUUGCUCCUGUCAUAAGAAACCCCAUUGCGGUUAACGUUAGUUUUUUGUUGUUGUUGUGCCAGGCAGGCAGAAUCUCACAUUCACCUCAGAUUGUCUCUCAGUAGACUAGUGUGUGUAAGUGGCAGCAGCCCCAGUAGUUCUGUGCUGUGCUGUCUCCCAUGCACCCAGGGGAGUGGGGCCACAGACUUGUCAAACGGCAGGGCUGUAAUGAGAUGUAAUGCCUCUCUCUCUUUCCUAAAGCGAACACUGACCUCCCCGUUGCGCUGCGGUGAUCAGAGCAGAUCUGAUCCCUGCUGCACUCGGCUGCACUGAACAAAGAUAGUGCUUCAAAGUGCAUUUUUAGAGUGUGACUUCCUCAUUUAAUCAGCACCCGUUGUGAUUGAAAGGGAGAGGAGGGGGAGAGAGGAGUGACUGCAUGGGAUUUGAUUUAUAACAGCCAACUUCCAUGUCAUCGCUUUGAAUUACAGGACUUUUUUUGAAGUACAAUGGAAUCUUUUUAAUUUUUUUUUAUUGAAACCAACGAAGUGGAAUAAAAGGUUUUAAGAUGGAGAGAUUUAGGAUCAAAAGUCUGGCUGAGACAUCACUCCACACAGCUAAUUGCCCUGAUCUCACUGUACAGUAGAGUUAAUGAAAACAAGAGACAGAUUCAUCAUGGCAUCUCUGAGCAGUCCUUUUCAGGUUCCUUAGAGAGCUUAGUCAGAAGAAACCUGUGGGAACAGUAAUGCAUUGUCUCUUACAAUAAACAACAACAAAUUAAAAAAAACGUUUUUUUUUAUUGCACAGUAUGGGGUCAUAAGUAUCUGCUGGCAAUAACUCAAGAUGACGCUAACAAGUUAGUAUUAUACAUCCUCACUAUAUGUAGUUGCUUUAAUACAGUAACUAUUCUGAAGCAACAUUCAUAUGAACUAGGUGAGGAAUCCCAGUUAGCUACAAUAUGAAUUUCUUCUACCCUUGUGUCGGCUGUGUGCUUUGACAUGGGACUGGUUAAGGCUCAGGUGCCCACUGUCUACGGCUCGAAUUAUGUGCCUGAACUGACUUACACAACUCCUACCCAUCAACUGCUUAUUGACCGUGGACGCCCCUUGACCACCAUGGAUGAUGGUCCUCCUACACACGACAAGACGUCAUCACAGCCUCAAGCCCAGGCCCAGAGGGGACUGCUUAAUUACACCCCAUAGAGCACUGCACGUUCCAUCCUCCUUCUCCUUUCCCCUUUUCUCUCUCCUUCCACCCCAUCCCCCAUCCCUCCAUCCAUCCAUCCAUCCAUCCAUGCAGAGCACUAGACCGUGGUGUCUGCGUUGGCACUGACCUCUGACUCGAGGCAGGGCACCUCAUGCCCACAUGCCUCUUCCUUCCCAGGCAGCAAGAAAUAGUCCGGCCGUUGCUGGGGAAAUGGACGAGUCACUCCUACGAGAGGAGAAUUGUAGGAGCAAGGAGCAGCUGGACUCCCAGGAAUUGUCCAUCCUUCCUCUGCCCCCAGGAACAUAUAGGCUCAUUAAAGCAGACUUCCUGUAUCCUCAGUACAGCAGAGACAGUAUGGGUGACUAGGGACUGUGACUUUUAUAAAAGCACCUACAGGGAACACAUAAAGACUACAUGGGGGCUAGGAGGGAUAUUAUGGAAGAGGUGGGACUUGAGAGGUAACAGACAUCGUAUUCAUGACUUCAACACAUAAUAUCAUAUCUUAUCCAAGGUUACUUGUAGUUGACUUUAUUUGGAAUGUGCUGUGACUCAUAACACUCAAAGAACAUAGAAAGUGAAACCACACUAGGAAAAGAGCAACAUCCUUCUGGAGUCCUGUACGUCUUGUUUCGAAAUGGAUUUCUGACAGCGAUUCACACAUUCAUUGCAAUGAAUGAAUGGAUAUACAUCGACUUUGUUGACUCUGAACACUUGGAUUCUACUUUUCUGUGCAUCCAGUUGCAGGGUUGUACGUUCUGAUACCUCCCUGUAGGUGUCAGGGUUACCGCUAUGAAAUACUGAUUAUCAAAAGGCUAUUGGCUAAAUACAGUCACCGUGUUAGUUAAAUUCAUUCUCAAUGUUCAUUCACAAAAGCAUUCUAUAACAAUUACUUCAUACAAAAUACUGCACAGAGUCACAUUACUGCAAUGUGUUUUAAAUGACAUUUCUAGG